UACGGAGGGGGCUAGCGUUGUUCGGAAUUACUGGGCGUAAAGCGCACGUAGGCGGCUUUGUAAGUUAGAGGUGAAAGCCCGGGGCUCAACUCCGGAAUUGCCUUUAAGACUGCAUCGCUAGAAUUGUGGAGAGGUAAGUGGAAUUCCGAGUGUAGAGGUGAAAUUCGUAGAUAUUCGGAAGAACACCAGUGGCGAAGGCGACUCACUGGCCCGAUACUGACGCUGAAGCGCGAAAAGCGUGGGGAGCAAACAGG
rnacentral:rRNA from 1 species